AAACCCUUUAACGAGGAUCUAUCAGAGGGCAAGUCUGGUGCCAGCAGCCGCGGUAAUUCCAGCUCUGAAGGUGUAUACCACCGUUGUUGCGGUUAAAACGCUCGUAGUUGGAUCUACGUUCGUGGGGUCGGUGUUCUCGUUUGAGUUCUACUGACUACCUGAACUGAAACAGCUGGUUUUCCCUUGGUGCUCUUUAUUGGGUGCCCUGGGUGGCUAGCAAGUUUACUUUGAAAAAAUUAGAGUGCUCAAAACAGGCGCAUGCCUGAAUAGUGGUGCAUGGAAUAAUGGAAUAGGAUCUUGGUCCUAUUUUGUUGGUUUUCGGGAGCCAAGAUAAUGAUUAAGAGGGACAGACGGGGGCAUUCGUAUUGCAGCGUUAGAGGUGAAAUUCUUGGAUCGUUGCAAGACGAACAACUGCGAAAGCAUUUGCCAAGAAUGUUUUCAUUAAUCAAGAACGAAAGUUAGAGGUUCGAAGGCGAUCAGAUACCGCCCUAGUUCUAACCGUAAACGAUGCCAACUCGCGAUCUAGUGGUGUUAUUUAUGACCCGCUAGGGAGCGUCCCGGAAACGAAAGUUUUUCGGUUCCGGGGGAAGUAUGGUUGCAAAUCUGAAACUUAAAGGAAUUGACGGAAGGGCACCACCAGGAGUGGAGCCUGCGGCUUAAUUUGACCCAACACGGGAAAACUCACCCGGCCCGGACACCGUAAGGAUUGACAGAUUGAGAGCUCUUUCUUGAUUCGGUGGGUGGUGGUGCAUGGCCGUUCUUAGUUGGUGGAGCGAUUUGUCUGGUUAAUUCCGAUAACGAACGAGAUUCUAUCCUACUAAAUAGCAAGCGGAUCAGCCCAGUCCGCAGUGCUUCUUAGAGGGACAAGCAGCUUUUAGCUGCACGAAAGUGAGCAAUAACAGGUCUGUGAUGCCCUUAGAUGUCCGGGGCUGCACGCGCGCUACACUGAAAGGAUCAGCGUGCAAGAUACCUUCCCCGGGAGGGGUGGGUAACCCAAUCAAAACCUUUCGUGAUUGGGAUAGGAGAUUGCAAUUAUUCUCCUUGAACGAGGAAUUCCCAGUAAGUGUGGGUCAUCAGCUCGCGCUGAUUACGUCCCUGCCCUUUGUACACACCGCCCGUCGCUGCCUGGAACUGAGCCGUUUCGAGAAGAACAGGGACUGCUGUUUGGUGGCCUUCGGGUUGCCUCUUGGCGGAAACUGUUUU
rnacentral:rRNA from 1 species